UGCCUUCGCUAUCGGUGUUCUUGACGAUGUCUAAGCAUUUCACCGCUACACCGUCRAUUCCACCUACCUCAUCUGUACUCUAGCCCCGCAGUAUCAAUGGCACCCUCCCAGUUAAGCYGGCUAUAUUUCAGCACUGACUUAUAAGGCCGCCUACSCACCCUUUAAACCCAAUAAAUCCRGACAACGCUUGCCACCUACAUAUUACCGCGGCUGCUGGCAMSUAAUUWGCCGUGGGUUAUUCACCAGGUACCUUCAAUUUHCCACGCAAGGAAAUUUUAUCCCCUGRCAAAAGCAGUUUACMASCCAGAASGCCYUCUUCCUGCACACGGCAUGGCUGGUUCAAGCUCUCACCCAUUGACCAAUAUUCCCUACUG
rnacentral:rRNA from 1 species